rnacentral:rRNA from 1 species
UGGGGAAUAUUGCACAAUGGGCGCAAGCCUGAUGCAGCGACGCCGCGUGGGGGAUGACGGCCUUCGGGUUGUAAACUCCUUUCGCUAGGGACGAAGCUUUUUGUGACGGUACCUAGAUAAGAAGCACCGGCUAACUACGUGCCAGCAGCCGCGGUAAUACGUAGGGUGCGAGCGUUGUCCGGAAUUACUGGGCGUAAAGGGCUCGUAGGUGGUUUGUCGCGUCGUCUGUGAAAUUACGGGGCUUAACUCCGGGCGUGCAGGCGAUACGGGCAUAACUUGAGUACUGUAGGAGUAACUGGAAUUCCUGGUGUAGCGGUGAAAUGCGCAGAUAUCAGGAGGAACACCGAUGGCGAAGGCAGGUUACUGGGCAGUUACUGACGCUGAGGAGCGAAAGCAUGGGUAGCGAACAGG